rnacentral:lncRNA from 1 species
UGCUAUAUGAUUUGGUUUUGAACUUCUUUUCUUUGCUUUCCUACAGUUUACUGAUUUUGGAGUUGAAGGAGUUGUCCCUGUUGAGCUAUUGCCACCUGAGGUGCGCUCAAAAUAUCAAGCUAAACCAAACGAAAAAGCGAAACGAGCAAAGAAAGAAGAAACCAAAGGUGGAUCUCAGGAAACAGAGGGAAACCAGAUUGGUGUUUCUAACAGUGAAGCUGAAGCUGAAGGAGGAAGAGGGGAAGCAGAGGCGAUGGAAAGUGAUGCUGUUGCAGACACUCCUACGCCUGAGGAACAACAAAGACUCGGU